rnacentral:lncRNA from 1 species
GCCAUGUAAAUUUGCAAGAGUGGAUUAAAGGCUUGGCUGUGUUUCUCCGCGGGACUUUUGAAGAGAAGAUGAGAUGAUUAUGACAAUGAUGGCAAGAUCUCUUUUGAAGACUUUGAAAAGGCAGUGAGAAAAGACGGUCUUUUGUUGGAGGCGUUUGGACCAUGUUUACCAGAUGCAAAGACCUGCUUUCAUUUCGAAGCUCUGGUAUUCAAAAACAACUCCCCUGCUAGUUUUGAGCACAACCCGCUCAACACUUGAAUUAAAGUGAGACCCUGAUCUCCUUUAUUUGCAUCACA